GCUUGCUGCUUCGCUGACGAGUGGCGGACGGGUGAGUAAUGUCUGGGAAACUGCCUGAUGGAGGGGGAUAACUACUGGAAACGGUAGCUAAUACCGCAUAACGUCGCAAGACCAAAGAGGGGGACCUUCGGGCCUCUUGCCAUCGGAUGUGCCCAGAUGGGAUUAGCUAGUAGGUGGGGUAACGGCUCACCUAGGCGACGAUCCCUAGCUGGUCUGAGAGGAUGACCAGCCACACUGGAACUGAGACACGGUCCAGACUCCUACGGGAGGCAGCAGUGGGGAAUAUUGCACAAUGGGCGCAAGCCUGAUGCAGCCAUGCCGCGUGUAUGAAGAAGGCCUUCGGGUUGUAAAGU
rnacentral:rRNA from 1 species